UAUGUCAAUUGCAUCAGUAAAAGAGCGUUUUGAACAGGUCAGCAUUGUCACAAAGCUUUUUGACUUUUUUUACCGAUCCGAGAGUCUUAUCAAAGCUUGUAAUGAAAAUUCUCUGUCUGUAUAUUGCAAAAGUUUGCAAUUAAAGCUUAAUGAUAUAGAUUUUGAGGAUUUAGAAAUGGAGUUAAAACGAUUUGUCAUUGUUAUAAAGGAGGAAAAAAAUGCUUUUCUAAAAUCUGCACAUGAUUUCCUAAACUACAUCUACAAAGAAGAGUUGUAAGAAACUUAUCCUAAUCUAGUUAUUGCGUUACGAAUCAUUCUUACUUUACCAGUCACUGUUGCAAGUGCAGAACGUAGCUUCAGCAAGUUAAAACUAAUUAAAACAUUUCAUAGGUCAACAAUGGUCGAUGAACGUUUGUCUUCCUUAGCAAUGCUGUCGAUUGAAAACGAGGUAGCAAGAAAAUUAAAUUAUGAAGGCAUAUUAAAUGAGUUUGCAAGCAUGAAAACACGUCGCAAACCCUUUUUUUGAUGAUUUGCAACUUGUAUUAUCUGGAUAAUACAUUUACAUUAGUUAAAGAAACUCUAGACUAGUAAACUCUGUAUCAAUUUAACAAUUAUAAAAAAUAUCUAAUUGAA